GAGGUACUAGUGUUCCAUUAGAAGAAAGGAAGCUGUCCAGAUUUGCUAUUGUAAAGCAAUCUACGCCAGAAAUAUUCGCUAUAUCAAAUGAACAAGCAACAACGAUUAUUCCGCAGAUGGAACCUGACGCAGAAAUCAAUAUACCGCAAGGGACUUUUGAGCAACCUAGUGAAAUGGCAGUAAAUAUUGUAGAAACUAAAGAAAUCAAUAAAGAAGAAGACAACGGCACAGCUAUAUUACUGACUAGCGUCUUAGAACUGACAGUAAACAAUGGACAACAACCAAAGGAACCAAUACGUGUAGUCAUACCAAUACAUGAUAUGGAGGCCGUGUCAGACGAUAUCGUCGUGUUGACCUCAACAACUGACCAACCAGAGGACUCAGAAUUAGACUGGGAAAUUAGAGAUGCAACGAUUAAUCCAGACGAUAAGUCAGCAUUCUUUUAUGUCAACCAUUUUUCAUUUUCAGACUUAAUGGAAACUUGACAGACAUGGCAGACGAGGACACAAAAUGUAUAACACUUCAAAGUAAUAGAAAUAAUUCCCGCUUUUUCAACAUCGGAGUUAACGAAAGUGACGAACAACCAAAGGGAGAGCUGGAAAUAUUUCAAGAAAAAGAAGCGGAUGAAGUGCCAAAAGAAUACCAACUGUAAAUUCAAAGUCAAUCUGGUGCACUUCGGCGACUGUACCCAAACCACAUGUUGCAAGUGUUGUAGAAAGUUUUUGAAAAUGAAUGUAAAAAUUCCAGAAAAACAAGUAAUCGCAGAAGAAAAGCCUGAGGUACAAUCAGAUGAUGACGAAGAUGACGAUCAACAGAGUAGUGAAAACAUAGAAAUACAAGAAAAUGAACCGACAACAAAUGGUUUGUCUGCCUUUAGUCAUAAAAAAUAAAAUGUAUUCUUUUGAUAUUUGUUCACAGGAAAGAAAAUAUUAUUCUUUAAGAUAAAUGUA